AGGCGCGUAGCUCAGGGGGAGAGCAUCUGCUUGACGUGCAGAGGGUCGGGGGUUCAAAUCCCUCCGCGCCUACCA
rnacentral:tRNA from 1 species